GAUUUGCUCAGUUGGCUAGAGCAUGGUGCUAAUAACACCAAGAUUGUGGGCUCAAUCCACAUAUGGGCCA